GGGACACGUGGUAUCCUGUCUGAAUAUGGGGGGACCAUCCUCCAAGGCUAAAUACUCCUGACUGACCGAUAGUGAACCAGUACCGUGAGGGAAAGGCGAAAAGAACCCCGGCGAGGGGAGUGAAAAAGAACCUGAAACCGUGUACGUACAAGCAGUGGGAGCACCUUCGGGUGUGACUGCGUACCUUUUGUAUAAUGGGUCAGCGACUUAUAUUCUGUAGCAAGGUUAACCGUAUAGGGGAGCCGCAGGGAAACCGAGUCUUAACUGGGCGUUAAGUUGCAGGGUAUAGACCCGAAACCCGGUGAUCUAGCCAUGGGCAGGUUGAAGGUU
rnacentral:rRNA from 1 species